rnacentral:misc_RNA from 1 species
UGACUGGACCGGGAUCUGCCUGAUGUCUCCUCAUGUGACCUGUUUCUGCCGUCGUCUCGGACUCUUCUGACUGCCCUGAUCGUCUGGCAGCAUGGUUCAUCGCAUCUCAUCUCAUCAAACAGGCUUAGACUUGCUCGAGCGAGCGUCAGUUGGGAUUUGGAUUGCGUGCGCAUUGCCGAGAAAGCAGGGGAAAGAAUGCUGCCCCUCUUGGCGCCAAGCCGGGAGGUCUUAAAGGUGGAUUUGCGAAAAAAUGCAAAUUGCGACACAUUUUUGUGAGAGUGUAUGGGGAUAUUUUGAUAUGGUUGAGCCCGUGAGAUGGGGACGAAUCCAACGAUACCAUUAAUGAAACUCCCCGAUAUCUGCAGCAAAAGUUGGAAAUUUCGAUGCAAUUCUCGUCUCUUUCUCUUUUUAUAAUCUGAGGCUGUGUUUUGAAGGUUGAGAAGACGCUCUUGGUAUGAGUGAGACCGUCAUGUUGCGGAGAAUCCAAUUCCGUUGCUAUUUCAGUCGCCAGGGCACUGCAUCGAGUGUUGGCUUGUUUCGAUCCUUCAUGCUUGCUAUCAUAAUACGUAUAGUACAUACAUAGCCGACAGAGAUGCAUGUUUG